CGGGAAGGCGGGUGGGGAUAGUCGGUGUCCGCUCCGUGCCGCAUAGGAGUAUUAACAGCUUGCUUUACUUGCUAAGUGUGGGAUCUGGUAGUGAAAAGCAAUAGAGAUCCUUGCUUCAGUCAGGUGAAAUAUUUUCAGCAGAGUUCAGGGAAGCAUUAAGCUGUUUGUUGAAGUCUAGAAGGAUUUCAUUUGGGAUUAUGUCACCUAAGCUCAAGAAAGGCAAUGAGGUAUGUAUUUCACUUUGCCUAAGAUAGUAAAUUUAGAUUUGGUGAUCCAAGUGGUCUGUACCAGGCUUACUUCCUCUUUUUUCGGUGUUCCCCAUAAUCCACUGUAAAAACUGGAAAUGGAGAUUUUUCACAAGUGUGCCCUUUCUUUUAUUCUAGCAACUGUGUCUUUCAGAAGCCUUGCCUAGAAGAAGUCUUCCUGAUUAACAACUCACUGAGUGUAGGAGAGAAGAUGUGACAGGAUGCAGGCGAGAGCUCCUUAGGAGAUUGGUAAACAUAAGUUCACGGGAGUUAUUCCAAAUAUGAAUAUGCUGAUAUUACCUGGUCCUGCCACAGCUUACUUUCGCUGGUUUUGAGUAGGCAUUAAAAUGUUUUCUGUUACCAUCAGACCUGCUGUAGUUAGUGGAGAAGCAAGUUUCUGGAGUAGUUCUAUACGCCCACACUGCACAUACUCCACCAAGGCAGUAAGUGGUGACAAGGAGUUGCUGCAAAGUGAAGAAACAGACCCAUGAUUUUACAGGGCCUCUGUGUUUGGAUUUGAACUUGGCUCUCUUUGCUCUUUCUGACUUACACUCGUGCAUGAUCAGGGUCUGUAAAUAUGAUUUAAUGUUUCUUAAACGGUUUGCAAGCAUAAUCUCCUUUGAGCUCAUCUGUUGUCACGCAGCAUCCUUCACCUUUGUGUUUAAUUGCUGUCUGUGAGUGCUUGCUGUAGUGAUUCACAGUUUCUCCAGGAACUAGGUAUGAGAACUCUCAGUAUUAGUGAGCAGUUCCUAGCAUUACAGGAGUUUCCUAUUUCCUUGUGAGAGGCCCCUCUUCCCCUCUGUGAACUCUCCCUUUGUUACAGAUUUGCUAAUAAGUUAAGAUUGAUUGACUUUAUUUGAUUGAUUAUUUGAUUUUAUAAAAUAAUUUUAUAAAAUAGAAAUAUAGAAGGAUAAGAAAUAUAUUUUAAUGAAACUCAUAGUUAUAUAGUAAAAGCUGCUAUGAGAUCCUCUGUACAUCCCGUACCAAGGCCAGAAGAAUGGGCUAGAACCAUUGUUAAAACUUAGGUAAUAACUUUAGGGUUUGAAAGGUUUUUUUGUAGUUAACUAGUCUUUCGUAUGUAGAAAGUGUAUUGAAAUGUCAGAAUAUAGGAUUAAUGGGAACUGGGGAGAGUCGACUGGAACAGCUUGUGGUUACCUGCCAAGAAACCGUGAACUUUAGUAAAAGGUAAUUCCAGCAGGGGGAGAUCGCGACCACCGACUCAUAUACCACCUACCCAAAUCGUACCCCAGACCCAUUUCUGGACCUUUCUAAGCUCUACUGCGCAGAAUCGGAUAUGGGAGGAGAAUAUGUUAAUGAUUUAUGGGAAAUAUUAUGAUUAUGCAUGAAUACUUAAUGAAUAUGUAUGAAUAAGUUCUAUAUAUGGUGUAUGAUUCUGAAACUUGGUGUGCAUUGAUCGUGAGAGGACUCGCUCACGCACCCGGCCGUCAAUAAAGAAGUGUCUGCUUAUCUACAUCA